UGGCGGCGUGCCUAACACAUGCAAGUCGAACGGACGAGGGGAGCUUGCUCCCAAGUAGUGGCGGACGGGUGAGUAACACGUGAGCAACCUGCCUUCGAGGGGGACAACAGCUGGAAACGGCUGCUAAUACCGCAUGACACAGCGGGGAGGCAUCUCUCUGCUGUCAAAGAUUUAUCGCCGAAGGAUGGGCUCGCGUCUGAUUAGAUAGUUGGUGAGGUAACAGCCCACCAAGUCUACGAUCAGUAGCCGGACUGAGAGGUUGAACGGCCACAUUGGGACUGAGAUACGGCCCAGACUCCUACGGGAGGCAGCAGUGGGGAAUAUUGGGCAAUGGGGGCAACCCUGACCCAGCAACGCCGCGUGAAGGAAGAAGGCUUUCGGGUUGUAAACUUCUUUGACGAGGGACGAUAGUGACGGUACCUCGAAAACAAGCCACGGCUAACUACGUGCCAGCCGCCGC
rnacentral:rRNA from 1 species